GACCAGCAGCAGUGUCGCGAUGGCGUUCCAGGGGUGAGGUGGCUUCGUCUGAUCGAAAAACGAACGAGGAGGGGAAGCGGCGGCUGGCAACUCACGCAUGGCGGCUGGAAAUGGUUUCUUAGGUUAGGGUUGAAGAUGCGAUGUGGGGGGAAAAGGGAUACGGGUAUAUCCCGUGUGUAUUCAAACUUCCGUUCCUUUAUCCAAGAUUAGUCCCUCCCGACCAAAUUCAUUUCCAAAUAAAUCUGAAACUUACCCAUUAGCCCCCAUUAUUUCAAAAUCUUUACAAUUUAAAUCCUAAUAAUUACCAAGCAUACCCUUACUUCUAAAAUUCUUCUCAAAUAAACUCUGUAAUUUACUAAACAACCCCCAACUAUCAAAAUUCUUCACACAUUAGUCUGGGACUCACAUUUAUUAAUUUAUUUAAAUAAACGGGGCGUUACAACUCUCCCCCACUUAAAUUAGAUUUCGUCCUCAAAAUCAUUCCUUUCACUUCAAACCACUCUAGUAACCUGGUCACCAUCCUGGACAUACCCUAGCCUUUCUAGGGUAACUAUAACCAACCAUCGCGACAAGAUCACAUCUAUUCCGGCUGAUAUCUGCUGCCUUGAGAUGGUCUGAUUCCCUGACAAACCACUCAUACCAAAAUUAUUAUCGAUGAAACCAGUCUGCUUAUCUCUCAACUGACUACUCAACUUCUGCUAGCUUGAAAAUUCCCACUACAAAACAGGUUCACAAACCUAAUUAUCCCUGUAGAUCACUUAUACUUGGCCAAUGCUCAGCUGUUUCCGCUGUGAGUGACUUGUCACUUCCCAAUAAACCAGCUAUCCUGUCUGUACUUGCAACUUAAGGCACAAUUACUAACAUUGCCCAAGAGCUGUAACUGCCUGAAACACUGAACUGUCUGAACACUGAACUGCCUGAACACUGAACUGCCUGAAACACUGAACUGCCUGAAACAAUGAACUGUCUGAAACUAUAUGCUGCCACAUGGCUACUUCCCAACAUCUACCGAGACCUACCUGGUCUCAAUUUUCCGCCAAUCAUCUGAACUAUCGGGUUCCAGCCCAACUGCAAAGCCAUAGGACUCCCUACUUAGCCGCCUCGCACGACUUCUGAACGAAAUCCUUCUAUGGAUCUAGCUGUUACUAGUUAUCUCAUCACUGUGGCCCUAACAGCCUUCUGCUCUAACUGAUUGGUUCCAUGCGUCAAAUCCUGACGUCACCAAACCCAAGGCUAAACGCGAUUGCUACAUCACUAAUUGUAGCCUUAUGUCAUAAAUGACCUUAAGCAGUCCACUGCUUCCUUGCUCUCAUCUCUAUAGCGGCGCUUCUACAAUCUUAUCACUGGCUUAACCAGGUCUCAUCCGUCUGGGAAAUUCCGAAAUCCAAUCCGUGGAUUUCCAUUUCCUCACUGCUAUACCCGAACUGGUGGGUACUACUGAUCUUUCCGCGUCCUAACAACACACUCACGCUAUCUACCAACCUAGUGAAGGCUGCAGCUACACCCACAGACUCACAUCACUCUAGUACUAUCUGCUAAUCUUGUGAAUGCUACGGCUACACCCGCAGACUUACAACACUCUGAUACUAUCUGACUGCUAGUGAAUGCUACAACUACACCCGCAGACUUACAACACUCUGAUACUAUCUGACUGCUAGUGAAUGCUACGGCUACACCCGCAGACUUACAACACUCUGAUACUGGAUCGAACACGCGCUUGCCCCGCACUCAGCUGAACUCGUGUCCUGACUGGAAUCCCAAACCUGAUUCCCUAAGGCUUGCUAGUAACAUCACGGGAACGCGAUCUCCUUAUUGGCAAGCUUUUCCGAACUUCCAUCUCACACUAUCCUCAAACCAUACAACCGCUUGGGCUAUCUUCCUUCCCAAUAAAGAUGUGAAACUUAUCCUAGUCUCAAAACUGCUCCUGCUUCUGAAUCCUUGGGCGAUUCUCCCCCACUUUGAUUCAGCUAAUGCCCUACAACACACAAAACUGGAAGAAUUCCCAAUCCUUCUCACCACCCAUGACCAAUCUGCUAGAAACCACACUUACCAUUGCUAGUGUUUCAACACUAGCUAAUCCAAAAGAUCACACAACUCUAAAAAUUCGAAUAAAUCUCCGGUAAUAACCCGCUAAACCCAGGAAGCUCCGAAUCUCAAUUGGAGACCUCGGAAUCUCCCACUGCCUCACGGCCUCUAUCUUGGCCUGGAACGACUAGUACACCCUUCUGGUUGACAGGGUGCCCAAGGAAUUGCACCCCGCGCAACCAAAACUCACAAUUGAAGAACCUUAUGAAGAUUCUCUCCCACUUAAAAGUCUCUAGCACCUCCCUUAGGUGCUUCUCGUGCUGCUCCACAGUCUUGGAAUAAACCAAGAUAACGUUGUACUUCCCAAUCCCACAAUCUGGGGGAUUGCUCUAUCACUAAUCGCUAAUGCUUCUCGGUAUGCAAUUGGCAUAUGACAUCUCUUAAAAAUACAAUUCAGACACAAACUGAGGAUAACUCAGGGUUACACUUACUCAAAUCUCUGGAACAAAAGGCUCCCUUGUGCAGUUUCCCGCAAGUGUUGCACCGAAUCUGGUCCUGCUGGUCUCUCGAAAGCUAAUCUAAAAUCUACGGUCUCCUCCCGAGACCCCUCACUAUAAGCAACUGAUUUGGUUCCCUCUUACCAAUGUGCUCCAAGUCCAUAUCCUGAACUCAAGCUCUAGAAGUCAUAUCAUUCAGGGUCUUGCACCCCGAGAUACUCACGAUCUCCCUGCUAUCAUUCUACAGUAUGUUCUGAUAACUUACCUUCUUAAAUUCCUCAUUUGCUUCAUAUUGUGGUACCAUAUAAGCUCUUUCCCGAGACUUGGCAGUGAUCUCUGCCACAAUCUCAGUCGUCUGGUGGAGAUCUAACAACUCUUGCGCCAACUGUUGCGCCUCUAUCACCUGGGCACACUCUGCCCGUAAUCUGGUCUAAAAGUCAUCUCAUGACAUAGCAUUAACCGCAUCAUCACUCAACUCACCACCAACUUCUUCCUAUCAAUCUCGUGCUCUACCCUGUUGGAGAUAGGAAGUAAGUCAGAUCUUGUCUCCUUUCAAGACAACGUCUGGUACGAAAGGUGUUGGCUACAUCUGCCAACCAUCUACUGCUAACAACGGGGUCCCUAACUCCCAUGACAAUCUGAAGCCUCACAAACUCUGAAUUCUCGAAACAUCAAUGUACGGGUCUCUAUCAUGACUGCUAUCUCAGUGCAGAAUGCACUCGGCCUCUCAUCACAAAUCUCUAUAAUGCCCUCCUUGAUCACACUGAGGAUCACAGGAGUUUGGUCAAUGAUACUGCGCGUAAUUCUCAGAUGGAAUGAACUCCCUUAUCUGAUCAUCAAUCUGCCCGACUCUAGAGUCCGAGCGUGAUCCCUUGUCGACACCAGGACUACCAUCUGUUCUACCACGUAACGUCACUAUACUCGGUAAUAUACCAUCACUAACAUCACAAUACUCAUCCAAAAUCGAGGGAUCUCACACACUACAAGUUCCCUGGUCUUAUCUCAGCCUUCCUUGACUCGAGUACGGAUCCUCUGCUUUUAGUAGUACGGGCCCAUACUACCUUCCACAUCUAUCCGUACUUUCCUCAAGUACUGCCUCGACUCUACCAAGUCACUUCUACUACUACUGAUCUCUGCUACUCUCAUCCUAGGCUUGACCUAGGGAAAUCUCUAACCCACUCUCCGCCAUCAGCUGCAUAAGAAGUCCCUUCUUUCUUCCCCUAACUAGCUCGCAAAUACUAUUACAUAUUACUCAGACCAGAUAAUUCUUCUAAUGAGAGAUCCUACUCUACAACGGUUGGACUCAGACAAGAGCUGCGAAAUAGAGCUAGACUUAACCUUUUGAAAUUAUUUAGUCCUUGCAAUAUGCAACAUAACAUAUUUGUUUACUACUUAGUGAAAGAUAACUAAGACUCCUAAAAGCACAAAGCAAGCAGCAUUCGAGCAUCGAGUACACAUAAUCAAACAUCUACUACUCUGGCUAUCAUACUGACUAAUCUGUACUAACAUACAAUGUGAAGCUCAUACUACCAAGCAUAACCUAAACAGGCUAUCCUACUACUGUCUACUGAAUACUAGCAUGCAAUUCUCAUAAAGCUGAGAAACAUAUAACAGGCACAUAAGGCAUCCUCCUAAAUCCUUAGUCCUAUUCUAGCAUGUUGUUCUACUGAAACUGAAACUGAUACUCAUAACAUAAACUUGUAUGGGUAAUUUGGGAGUACUUACUUGAGCUCGGCUGAUUGCAUGCACCACACCCUUUUCUCUUUUCAAAACUCUUUUCGCUUUUUCUAAAACUCUUUUCUUUAUACUUUUUCUAAAAUUGUUUUCUUUUCUCAAAAUUCAUUUGUAACCGAGGUUUUUCUCUUGAAAACUUUAUACCACUUCCUUAGUUUGAGUUCAGACACACUCGGGAGUGCGCCCGAAUCCCUCAAACCAAGGCUCUGAUACCAACUUGAAACAUCCCAAAAAUACAGUCUGAAAAUUUUGUUUUAAAUUAGUAAUAAAACCAUAUUCAUCAAUCGUCAUAUAAGAAUCAUAAAGAAUGUAUCUCAAAAUAUCUUAACAGCUGUCAAAUAUAUCAGAGUAAACAUCCCAGGCUGAACAAAUGGUGUGUGCACUACAAUCUUCCCGAGCUCCUCUUUUGAAAACUGAGUACCUGAAACCAAAACUGAAAACCGUAAGCACGAAGCUUAGUGAGCUCCCCUAAACUACCACAUACCAUACAAUAACAUAUAAAGCAUCUACUGGGCCUUGCCCACUACAUCAGACCGAAGUCUGGAAACUAACCAGGGCCUUGCCCUCUGCAUCGGACCGAAGUCCGGAAACUACAUCGGACCGGAGUCCGGAACUAACCAGGGUCUUGCCCUCUGCAUCGGACCGAAGUCCGGAAACUGCAUCGGACCGGAGUCCGGAACUAACCAGGGCCUUGCCCUCUUCAUCGGACCGAAGUCCGGAAACUGCAUCGGAACGGAGUCCGGAACUAACCAGGGCCUUGCCCUCUGCAUCAGACCAAAGUCCGGAACUGAUUGGGACCUUGUCCCCUACAUCGGACCGAAGUCCGGAACUAACUGAACAUAACAUAGCAUAAACAUGUCAACUAGUAUGAAUACAUAUACUGCAUACUACAUCUGAAUAGAGUCCGAAACACAUAACACAAAACAUGCUUGAAUCACAAAGACAUCAAGCACUCUAACUAUUGCAUCAGACCGAGGUCUGGAACUAAGUUAACAUAGCAUAACAUAAUCAUAGCAUAUAAUAUAAACACAUAUACUGCAUACUGCAUCGGACCAUAGUCCGGAACACAUAACUCAUACCAUGUCUGUAUCAGAAUGACACCAAGCAUACUGAACUACUGCAUCGGACUGAAGUCCGAAACUACUACUAACUAAACGGGCCGGCAUUGUGGCCGUAGACCCGUUCCUACUGGAAGGAAACUCACCUCACACUGCUGACGUCCCGUAGACACAAUCUCAUACUACUGAAGUCCCGCAGGCUCAACCUUAGUUGCUGGAUGACAGAUUCCCGAACUGUCAACACCAAAAUAACCCCCAAUUAAUAAUUGGGUUCUAACACAUAACUAUAAAUACAUACUUUGGGUAAUUACUACAUUACCCCUAGCUUGGAUUACCCAAGCCCAAGGCCCAAUCCAUAGGCCCAAAGUCAACUAGGGAUCAAAGCCCAACAUAUGGCCCAACUUUCCAAAUUGGGCCCAAUUCUUCAUAUGGUCCUUACCCUAAAGCCCAACUAAUUACUCUAGUCCAUUUGAUUAUUCUUGGAUGGCCCAACAUAAAGCCCAAGUGAAAUUAGGGUUUCUCAUAAAAUAAUAAUUAGGGUUAAGUGUUUCUCACUUAACCCAUUAAGGACUUAACCCACUAAGGACUUAAUCCAUUAACUCCGUUAUUGCUUAGAUUAAUUUCUGCCAAUGAUUAUUAUUUAAUAUUUCACUUAUUAAAUAAUUCUCGUGUGUGUGUCCUGAUAAUUUCUCAAAUAUUAGUAUAUUCUCAAUUAGCCCAUUAAGGACUUAAUCCAUUAAGUCCUUUACUAUACUAGAUAAUUCGUAUGGAGAAUUUGGGCUUAAUAUACAAUCCAAUCUCAAUGGCCCAAUAAUGGGUCCAAUAAGUCUAAGGCCCAAUACUCAUAAUUAGGGUUUUCCACCCAAACAUGGCCUAAUAGGCCCAAAACCAAUCUCUAAGCCCAUUAGGGUUUGCUAGCGGGGAACCACCCACUACCACCUCAGUGGUGGUCUAUGGCGGCUUACGGCGGCGGCCACCACCUUACGGUGGUGGUUAUCAUUAUUUUUAUUAUUAACCAAAGCUAAGUAUAAUUACAACGUUUAAUCCAAACAUAAACACACACACACACACAGUCACACCAUGGUGGCCGGCGGUGGUGCUUGGCGGCAGCCACCACCCUACGGUGGUGGUGGUUAUGAUCUUGGGCCAAUGCAACACCAAAAGUACUUCAAUCAUCAAUCUAAAUGCACUCGAAAUCCCACAGCCACCGGAGAUGGUGGCUAACGGUGGCAGAAGGUUGUGGUGAUGAGUUUUCUUCAUUUUUCUUGUCUAAGAAUAUCAAUACAAUAUUAAAUCGCAAAAUAGGCCUGUACACACACUAAAUCACGCACACAACCACCCUCCCACGGUGGCUGGUGGCGGCAAAAGAGAUGGCAGCCACCACCUCACGGUGGUGGCGGUUGCUUUCCGUCCAAAAUAUUGCUCAACCAACCCCAAAAACACGAUCAACAGCAUAUAUACUCGAACCAAUAAAUAUCCGGCCACCAACCAAGUGGCUAACGNAAACGACGAGAUCAGCGGCUAACAGCCACCGAUGGCAGUUACAUCGUCGAUCAGGUGAGAGGAAGGAAGAAAUAGCAGGUGGCGAUACUUACCGAGGACCCUCAGGUAUCGCAUGACCCUCUCAGCAGCGAAAACGGCGACUACCACCGAUCUUGGUGGCUCUCCGAGUUGUGAACGACGUCUCCGACCAGCAGCAGUGUCGCGAUGGCGUUCCAGGGGCGAGGUGGCUUCAUCUGAUCGAAAAACGAACGAGGAGGGGAAGCGGCGGCUGGCAACUCACGCAUGGCGGCUGGAAAUGGUUUCUUAGGUUAGGGUUGAAGAUGCGAUGCGAGGGAAAAGGGAUACUGGUAUAUCCCAUGUCCAUUCAAACUUCCGUUCCUUUAUCCAAGAUUAGUCCCUCCCCACCAAAUUCAUUUCCAAAUAAAUCCGAAACUUACCCAUUAGCCCCCAUUAUUUCAAAAUCUUUACAAUUUAAAUCCUAAUAAUUACCAAGCAUACCCUUACUUCUAAAAUUCUUCUCAAAUAAACUCUAUAAUUUACUAAACAACCCCCAACUAUCAAAAUUCUUCACACAUUAGUCUGGGACUCACAUUUAUUAAUUUAUUUAAAUAAACGGGGCGUUACAGCCUUCUCGGGAAUAUAUAACGUCAUGACCAUCACAAGGAGCGAUAUAUUUGUCACAAACGAAGGAGGUCCAACACCUCAGAACGUCGGAACGGGAGUUGUUCAAAUUCCGAU
rnacentral:lncRNA from 1 species